CAAUGGGCGCAAGCCUGAUGCAGCGACGCCGCGUGAGGGAUGACGGCCUUCGGGUUGUAAACCUCUUUCAGCAGGGAAGAAGCGAAAGUGACGGUACCUGCAGAAGAAGCACCGGCUAACUACGUGCCAGCAGCCGCGGUAAUACGUAGGGCGCAAGCGUUAUCCGGAAUUAUUGGGCGUAAAGAGCUCGUAGGCGGUUUGUCGCGUCUGCUGUGAAAGUCCGGGGCUCAACUCCGGAUCUGCAGUGUGUACGGGCAGACUAGAGUGAGGUAGGGGAGACUGGAAUUCCUGGUGUAGCGGUGAAAUGCGCAGAUAUCAGGAGGAACACCGAUGGCGAAGGCAGGUCUCUGGGCCUUAACUGACGCUGAGGAACCAAAGCUUGGGGA
rnacentral:rRNA from 1 species